rnacentral:rRNA from 1 species
UGGGGAAUUUUGGACAAUGGGCGCAAGCCUGAUCCAGCCAUGCCGCGUGCAGGAUGAAGGCCUUCGGGUUGUAAACUGCUUUUGUACGGAACGAAAAGGUGCCUUCUAAUAAAGGGCGCUCAUGACGGUACCGUAAGAAUAAGCACCGGCUAACUACGUGCCAGCAGCCGCGGUAAUACGUAGGGUGCGAGCGUUAAUCGGAAUUACUGGGCGUAAAGCGUGCGCAGGCGGUUUUGUAAGACAGAGGUGAAAUCCCCGGGCUCAACCUGGGAACUGCCUUUGUGACUGCAAGGCUGGAGUGCGGCAGAGGCGGAUGGAAUUCCGCGUGUAGCAGUGAAAUGCGUAGAUAUGCGGAGGAACACCGAUGGCGAAGGCAAUCCCCUGGGCCUGCACCGACGCUCAUGCACGAAAGCGUGGGGAGCAGAC